rnacentral:rRNA from 1 species
UACGUAGGGUGCGAGCGUUGUUCGGAAUCACUGGGCGUAAAGGGAGCGUAGGCGGAACUGUAAGUUAGAAGUUUAAUACAUGGGCUCAACCCGUGGUCUGCUUUUAAUACUGCGGUUCUUGAGUAUGGGAGAGGGCGAUGGAAUUCCAGGUGUAGCGGUGGAAUGCGUAGAUAUCUGGAAGAACACCAGUAGCGAAGGCGGUCGCCUGGCCCAAUACUGACGCUGAGGCUCGAAAGCUGGGGGAGCAAACAGG